GAUGAACGCUGGCGGCGUGCCUAAUGCAUGCAAGUCGAGCGAACGGACGAGAAGCUUGCUUCUCUGAUGUUAGCGGCGGACGGGUGAGUAACACGUGGAUAACCUACCUAUAAGACUGGGAUAACUUCGGGAAACCGGAGCUAAUACCGGAUAAUAUUUUGAACCGCAUGGUUCAAAAGUGAAGGACGGUCUUGCUGUCACUUAUAGAUGGAUCCGCGCUGCAUUAGCUAGUUGGUAAGGUAACGGCUUACCAAGGCAACGAUGCAUAGCCGACCUGAGAGGGUGAUCGGCCUCACUGGAACUGAGACACGGUCCAGACUCCUACGGGAGGCAGCAGUAGGGAAUCUUCCGCAAUGGGCGAAAGCCUGACGGAGCAACGCCGCGUGAGUGAUGAAGGUCUUCGGAUCGUAAAACUCUGUUAUUAGGGAAGAACAUAUGUGUAAGUAACUGUGCACAUCUUGACGGUACCUAAUCAGAAAGCCACGGCUAACUACGUG
rnacentral:rRNA from 1 species